UCCCUGUGAACAUCAUGAAUGUGCUCGUUUACAUCUCACCUGGCGUACCACAAGCUGAGGCAGGACCUGAAGGGGUUCUGCUAAUGCCAGGGCAGUUUGGAUCAAAUACCGAAAUAGCUUUAGCUGCUGUGCAAAAGUAUGCUUUCCGCUGGCAGUGCGUUUAAUAGCUUGCAUUGGUUUAUUUACAUGUGUGUUCUGGCAUCUACUGUAUUGCCUGUGUCUUUGCAUUUUUGUGCCUAACUGUGCCUCUGUGGGUUUAUCUCUAUGCAGAUGACCAGUGUCCAUGUGAAAUUGUACCACUUGGAUGCAUUCACAAUCAAUAUCUAGAUCAGUGGCUGAUCCUGUGGAAAUGUAUGGUCCCUAGACAUAGGUGAGCUGCAGAACUGAGGUGACUUGUCCCUGCUCACAUGCAAAGCUGAAGGCAGAGCCGGGGACGGGAUGCAGAUCUCCAGCAUGCCUAGUGCGCUGUUAGCCCAUGAAACUCCUCAGCACAACAAUUUGAUGAGGCCAUGAUCUUGGAGAGAUACCAAAAGAGAUGGGCUAUUUCAGAUGGAUCACAAGGAAAGCCUGAAUUAUAAAGAAAACGACUUCAUCUGCUGCAUCAAUAUCGCUUUGCAGAGGACAAGGCUGUUGGGUGCGACGUGCCGAGUCACGUCGAAGAAUACCUACCCCUUCUGCUGCCCUGGCUGGCCCUUUGGUGUAGGUAUUGCCUAGCGGCAGUGCCUCCUGCUGAUGCUGCUGGGACACUACCCUUAGCCAAGCUGUGGACAUGGGAGCAGUGCUCUGCUGUGCCAGGCCCUGGACAAACACAAAGUGAGAGCCUGUCCUGGCCUGAGUGGUCUCACUGUCUGCAGAGACGGGCGCGAAAACGCAGACACAAGCCUGGGGCCAUGUAUAANNNNNNNNNNNNNNNNNNNNUUCCUGCUGCUCCAGCCCUGUUGCUGCAAGGAAGGGUGAGGACCACAUUGUGUUGGUAGCCUGGCUUUCCUCACUGCUCCCCUCCGGUGCUGGGCUCGCUGGCAUGGCUCCGCCACAGGGCAGGUGCUCCCGGGUACCUCAGAGCACAACAGAUCCGUCCACGUUACUGGAGCACUUCUCUGGACUCUUGCUGACCACGGUGAGAGCCAGGGCGUGACCUGCCGGGGAUGGCCACCUCCCCUCUUUCAGUGCAAGGCUUCUUUUUGCAAGAUCAAAGUGGAGGGAGUGUGCCAGAACCUGCCAAACUGCUGCUGGGGAGACUGACGGGGAGUGACAGAGCCUGAAACUGUCUGGCAGAUUGUUUGUUUAAUGGGGGAAAAUGUUUUCCUGACACUGCAGAGCACUUUGAAUAGCAAACGAUGUCAAUAACACACGUUCACCUGUUCCUACCAUGGAUUUCUUCUCCCUCCUACGCCGUCCCUUUAGUGUGAGACUCCAUUAGUGCCCAGACUGCCGCCAGCCAAACGCUGCGAGCACGUGGCUGAUUUGCCAAUCAG
rnacentral:lncRNA from 1 species